CUUAAGUACCAAGCUCCCUUCGGAUCCAAUCCUAGACAUGCAUACUGCCAUUGCCACACCUUAACAUCAUGGAUAUUUCUAGGAAACCGAUUUGAUUAAGUCAUUUUUAGGAAAAGUGAUUAAUUUUGGAAAAUACUUUCAUUGCGGAAGUUUUGCUUGUUAUCGUGUUAUUUUGAAAUCAAUUGUUGUUUUUGAAAACGCACCCUAAAGCUAUCCAAUUUCAACAGUUAAAAUAAGUAAUACCUAUCUUAGUAAUACAUAUUAAAACCAUCAAAAAUAAUUAAGCGGCCUUAUUACAUUUAAAAGCUCAAAACUUCAAACGUAAAUAAAAGGAUGUCCAGUUCACCAGAAGAAAAUCAAACUUUCAGAACAGGUGGCCACUCCGAAUUCCCUCACAGCUCCAAGCCCACUAUGGUUGGGGAUUUCCUGCGUGGAUGAAAAUAAAAGGGGUGAGUUUGGGGAAACUCAGUGUGUAAGGAAAACCCAUUCAAAGCCCAAGUCAGCUCAAGCCCAUUGGGCCUAAGCCCAUUCAGGUAACAGUGAUACUGGGCCAGAGCCCUUUUCAGAUUACAAUAAACUGGGCCUUAGCCCCUUAUUCAGAUAACAGUAUGGCCCAUAGGCCCAUUUCAAAAUACAUGCAACAUCAAUAAACAUAUGCAAGCCCAUUUGGGGAGACUACUCAACCCACCAACCACUACACUCCACCCGUACCAGCCAUACACUCCAUGUGGGGAAUAGCUCAACCCACCCAGCCCAACACUCCACAGUUGCAGCCUUACUGCUCAGUUAACAGUAAAUUGAGGCAAAGCCUCUAGUACGUGGACAAGCCACUUUCAGUACUUCCUCCGUCAAUAUCCCAAUCCCAUGCAUCAGAUAAUAACAACAUGGCAUGCAGUAAAUAACAACAGUCAAACAUGCAUUUAGGUCAAUUUAACCCUAGGGGUAUUUCGGUAAUUUAUCUACUAUGGGUAAAACUGUAAAUUUUCUACUUUUAAAGGUAUUUCAGUAAUUUAUCUAUUUUAGGGUUUUUCAUGCAUAUUCCUACUUUUCACGUACUAACAGAAUCACGUACCGAGGGUUCUUACCGAAUUGGGCCCGUUGGCCCAUCAUUCCAAUUUUGGCCCAUUAAGCCCAAAAAUAUGGAGGGCACAGAAAUCAUGCACUUUGCAGUCCAAAUUUUGCAGCUUACCAAAAACAUUAAUCGAUUUACCUCACGAGCAUUCGUACACUCGCAAAUCUACAAAAUACCGGUUUUCGACUUUUCGACUUUUGCCGAUCCAGACUAAGAAAGAGGGUGUUAGUUUCACACCUGUUUGCGACGAUAUGCUGACGAAAUCCACACACGAACCGCCUACAAUUGGAUUACUAACACGUUAAUCUAACUAUUCAAAUAAAAACUACGUAUUAACCCCUUACAAUAUUCGGCCAACCACACCUACAGAUCAUAGUAAGCUUAUAAGAAAACAAUAAGCAACUCAUUAACAAAUUUUUGUCAAUGUUUACCACAUAAUCAUAAUUUCACUGCAAGUUGUCUUCCUGAGCAACGGUCACUAAAUCACUUAUAACUGGAGCUAUGAAACUCCAAAUCAAGUUCUGUUAAUUUUCCUUGAAAAUAGACUCAUAUAUAUUCUAUCCAUAAAAUUUUCAGAAUUUUUGGUUUAUCCAAUCAAUACCAGAUUUUUCUCAAAGUUUCCCAUGUUUCACUGUUUGACUAAUCUGACCACUCUUCAUUACGAAUCAAAUUUCUCAUUGUACAGAAUUCAAAAUAUGUUCUCGUUUAUUUCAUUUGAAACUAGACUCAUUAAGAUUUAAUUACAUAAUUUAUUCAGCUUCUAACUCAUCUCCCACAAUUUAUAGUGAUUUUCCAAAGUCACGUUACUGCUACUGUCCCAAGCAGAUUUAUUACCAAAUCACUCUUUCACACCUAACUUGCAUGCUUGUUAUUUAAACAUGUAUAUCACCAAUCAAUCAUCACAUAUUUAUGAUUUUACUUAAGUAUAAUCUCCAUUUCAUCAUUUUAAAGCACAACAUGUUAGCUGAUUUUUCCCUUUAACAUCUAAGGCACAUGCAUGCUCAUUUGUUUGGCUCAACUUCACCUAUCUUCCAUUUUUCAUCAAAAGAACAUGAAACAACAACCAUUUCUUUCGUCUUAAUUCAUGACUAAAUGCUCACAACACAACUAAAAACCAAAAUAUGCUUCAAGAGUUAAGGUAGAAUCAAGAAGAACUCAUGAACCUCAUAAUAAAAGCAAACUACCAUGAACUUACCUUCAAUUUUUCUUCCCCAAGUGACCGAACAUUCAAGAGCUUUCUCCUCUCCUUUAUCUUCUCUAACUUUAGGCUAUGAUGAACAAAGAUGGACAAAACUUUGUUCUUUUCACCCC
rnacentral:lncRNA from 1 species